rnacentral:sRNA from 1 species
ACUAAUAGCAAUGGGAAUGGUGCAGUAUUCUAGUCGAUUCUCCGUUUCUGAAGGCAGGGCUAAAAAUCUGCCAAAGGGCACAUCGAUGAAGUUUCUUGUGGCGGCUUGAGGCGCCCAGCCUUGGGUCGGUGCUGGAAGUUAAGGUUGUAGGGCGAUCCACAAUGGCAUGUGGGCGUUGACCCUACUUCCGCGGAGGCCCAUCUCUGUCGUGCUUUUUUAGCUAAAGAACAUGGCGGACUGGGGUAUGAACCUGUUAAGUGGAUCAAUUGGGAUUCCAACUGACAGCGUAGCCUGCCUUGAGUGAUGACCGAGGGGAUUACAGCAAAUCGCUGACUAAUAUUUAGGUGGCCACUAAAUAUAUUUAGCCGUCUGUAUGAAAUUGGUGUUGCAAAAGAGGCUAGGAAACGGUUAAGAGUUGUCGAGGAAAACUCCUAGACUGUUCAUAAGACAUUUAUUAGGGAUUAUAGUGCGUGCUGAGUGGCAAUCCAGUCUAGCAAGCGGUAACGUUGCUAAGGUGCGAUUAAAGGGGAACCGCCAAGAUGGCAACAUCUGGUUUGUACUUGGGAAAACCUACUGGACCUAAGUCGCAGUUUUUACUUAAUAAAUGACCAUUCCAUUACAUAUUUAU